AAGAAAGAAACAUGCAGACAAUGCAAAACGAUAGCAGAAGCACGGCGCCAGAAAUGAGAUGCCCUCAUCAAACCGCACCAUCAACUUCAACUUUAACUCCAUACUUUCCAGCAGAGAGAGACGCCAUCCAGUAUAGUACACCUUAUCCACCACCAUCAAUGAAACGGGUGCUUAGGCUGAAAAGGGUUUAUUCAACCAGAACUCGUGGCCGCUCCGGUCCACUCUCUUCGCUGGCUCGGAAGCUUGACCGGUUCAAAGUUCGAACAGUAGUUGUACAAGAGACUACAACUGAUGAUGAAAAUUGAAUGGAUCAGUCUUCCAUAUGCAACUUGUACAUGUCCAACUAAUUUUGUUGUAAAACUUCUUUUAAUUUUUUAACCUAAUUCAUUCAUUUAUUUGUUCAUAACAUAAUGUCCUAGCGAUUGUAUUUCAUCUAUUAUUUUAUAUAAGUUCAUAAUAAACG
rnacentral:lncRNA from 1 species